rnacentral:rRNA from 1 species
GACGUAGGGGGCCAGCGUUGUUCGGAAUUACUGGGUGUAAAGGGUUCGUAGGCGGUGUGGCAAGUUGGGAGUGAAAUCUCUGGGCUCAACCCAGAGGCUGCUUCCAAAACUGCUGUGCUUGAGUGUGGGAGAGGCGCGUGGAAUUGCAGGUGUAGCGGUGAAAUGCGUAGAUAUCUGCAGGAACACCCGUGGCGAAAGCGGCGCGCUGGAUCUCUACUGACGCUGAGGCGCGAAAGCCAGGGGAGCAAACGGG